CUAACAUGUGUGCUAGUCAGGGGCCCGUUCCGAAAACCAGCGGUGCAAUGAAGGUAAGGGCCAGCGCGCACCAGCUGAGGUGGGAUCCCAGGGGGUGGUCGAGCGAGAAGCCCUGGGCACACCACCAGCCAUCUUGCCCGUGCCGCCUGGCCGGGGAGGUGGAGCGUGAGUGUCCUUGCUAGGACCCGAAAGAUGGUGAACUGUGCCUGGGCAGGGCGAAGCCAGAGGAAAUUCUGGUGGAGGUCUGUAGCGGUCCUGACGUGCAAAUCUGUCAUCCGACCCAGGUCUAGGGGCAAAAGACUAAUCGAACCAUCUGGUAGCUGC
rnacentral:ncRNA from 1 species